AAAAACUACGAAGAGGAAUUCACAUAGAUUUAGGAAGGGCCUGCUGUAUUUGUGUACAAGCUAAAGUUUUAUGAAAAACGAAUACUUUUGGUCACUUUCAUUGUCAAAUAGGCUUUUCCUUCGUAUACCUUACUUACCUCGACCUAGCGAAUCACAACACGAAAAAGGCAGUCCUUUUUUUCUAUAUUCAACCAAGAAAAACCCCGCCAC
rnacentral:lncRNA from 1 species